rnacentral:tRNA from 1 species
GCCCCCGUAGCUCAGGGGAUAGAGCACCGGUUUCCUAAACCGGGUGUCGGACGUUCGAUUCGUCUCGGGGGUGCCA